GCGUCUACCAUUGGAGUUAGCCCGGUAUCUAUCCCUGGCAUAUCCAGUUUGCCUCAGAGCGACGGGCUUGCAGGACCAGCCGCUAGGACUGAUUCUCAUAUGACUCCUGGCAUCCCUCAAAUGCCCGCGGAUAAUGGAUCUACAGGACCAGCAGCUUGGGCCGAUACUCUUAUGACUCUUGGC